GUAAACCAAGCAAGCAGUAUAAUCCUUAGAUUGAAGAUACUUUUUUCCACCAGUUUUUACUUGUUCAGAAGAAGACAUCAUUACACAAAUCUGCCAAUCGUGGAGAAGACAGUUCAUCAGGUCCCAUAUGGGAAAAAAUGGACAGAUUCUGCCACCAACUCCAAUCCAGCACAAUCAUUUUCACUCCAGCCAACAGCUGUUUUAUUGCAUGGAUCUCAGAAAGGCUCUUCUGGACAAGAUGAUGUUAAUGACACCCUGCUAGAAGAUGGAAGCAAUUUUGGCAUUGAGCAACAUCUGCAAAUCUUGAUACCACACUACUGCAAUCACUAGGGAUAUGAAACAACCAAAUCUUGUAUAUGAUGUGGAUUGUCUCAUCAGUUGCUGGCAGUUUGUAAUAUAGGCAAGUUAUGUUCUACCAGAAGGUACUGGGCUAAAACGUGCAAAAAAGUCACGUACCCAGAGAAACCGAAAGAGCAACACAGUGUUUGGCAGCACUAUUUUAAGAAGGGUCAACUUAGGAUAAAGCCAAAAUGAUUUCAAACUCCCAUCCAUGGCACAUAAGCUUGCCAGCAAAGUCCUAGUGGUAACUGCAAUGUUCCAGCUUUCAGACUCCAGUGAGGGGAGGCAAUGGUCUAAUGGUAUCAUCAUCCCUCAGACACCCUGAUCAUGAUCUGGGGGACUGGGUUUCAAAUCCUGCCAUGGCAGAUGGUAGAAUUUGAAUUCAAUAUAAAAUCUAUAAUUAAGAGUCUAAUUGCCGAUCGUCAUAAAAACCGAUCUGAUUCCCUAAUGCCCUUAGUGAAGGAAAGUUCCAUCCUCACCUGGGCUGUCCUAAAUAUGACUCCAGGCCCACAGCAAUGUGACUGACUCUUAACUGCCAUCUGGCAAUACCUACUGGCCUGGACAGCAAUACCUGCUUUCUGUGAAUGAAAAAAUAAUACGAUUGAUUUGACACAACAUAUGGAAGUCAUUGGGAAAAGGUAGAGUAUUUACCACCAUCCAUGUGAUAUACCCCAAACUAAAUGAUUAACAUACUCUCUAUGCCAUGACUAAAACUGGUGCAAGCCCAUCAAACCUGAAAAUGUUUUGUGAUUCAUGCCUAAGGACUCUCAAAUCCCUCUGUACUGCAACUUUCUGCCCUAUCUAUUGGCCCAGCAUCAAUCAAGCUAUCAAGUUGUAUGAAACACGUCAAAUCUAUCAACCUCAACAAUGAAGAGAACCUUUCAUUCCAUGCAAACCUCCCUGUAAGCUGUGGUUCACAGCUAGUAUCUUACACAUCCAAGGAUAUGAUUACAUUCCACUUACUGGCUAUUUCACCAAAUUCCCUUUUGUGAGACAAAGCAAAGAUAUAACCCAGUGCGACAGUCUUUGACAGAUUAAUCACUAUAUUCAGUUCUUAAUGAAUUGUGUCUAAUGAUGAUCCACAUUACAAGAGUGCACCUUUCCAGAACAUGUGCAGGAAGGUUAUUGUACACUAUCUUCUUUCCUCUGAUCCUCAAACUAACUGUCUCGCAGAGUGCACUGUUCAUGCAGUGAAUGCAGUGGUCAUCAAAUGCAAAGCUACUUGCCAAGAGCUUUGGAUAGCCAUGUUAAAUCUACAAACUAUCCCGUAAGGCAAUGUGUGUAGGAUGGCCUGGAAGGCUAAAAGCUAAUGAUGAUAUUUGACAGUUGCAUGAGAAGAUAGAUGGUAUGGGAUGGGCUGAAUGGCUAAAAUUAUUGAUGAUAUUCAAUAGCUGCAUGACCUUGAAUGAAUCCUGUGAACAUUCCUGUACAUGCCGAAGCCGGCACCAUCAAUGUGUUUUUCUGUAGUUGUUUUUCUAUGCCUUGCUGUUUGUUACAUUGUAUAAGAGGGAGAUUUUCAUUCCCAGUUGCUGGACUUCAGACUGGGAUCGGGAACGGUGCCAGGAAAAACCUCAGCCUCCAGACCAACUGUCCAUCAAAGGGUU